AGAAAACGAAUUAUUUUCGAACAUAAUCAAUAAAAUUAAGAACAUAUCCACUAAUACACUGAAUAUGUAACUGGAUACAUUCCAAAACUUUCAAACCCAGAUUAUUGAAAAUCAUUAACCUGCAAAAAUCAAUGUUCCGGUUAUACGUAUAUAUAUUUCGUUUAAUACUCUUGCUCGGUUUUCAUCCCUUCUAUUCGCCUAAGCUUAAAGCCGAUGGUGGCCACCAGAUUAUAUCCAAUUCACCAUAACAUGUAAAACAAUAAAUAUUUUCCGAUCGAUACAUCGUUGUACUUGAAAAGGCACACAAUAUUAUUAAACUGCAAAAUCUUCCAGAUCAACGCAUAUUUAACCUUAAAAAGGCACAUGGUAAUUUUAAAUAAACCUUUUGUCAGUACAACAAUCUACGAAGGUAAUAAAGAAAUGUAGACUGUUUUUUUUUUUUUUUAAUGUUAUCAGUUUCGAAUCUAACUAAGCAUACAAGUACACAAACUCUUGAAAAUGAAUAAGAAAUCACAGUUCUAGAUUUAUCCAUAUUAUAGAACUAAACACAGGAAAUAAUGGAGAAGUACUCCACAUCGAGUUCUAUCGAGUUUCUAAACUAGUACAAUUUUUUUUAAUCGAAUAGAGAGUGAAAUUUCGCUCUGUGAAGUCGUCGAACUUACCAGCGUCGAUUCGAAUCGAAAUUUUGAUGAAUAACAAUGAACUCCACGCGUAUUCUUCAAUCUGUGAAGUCGUCGGACUUACCAGUGCCGAUUCGAAUCGAAAUUUUGAUGAAUAACGAUGAACUCCAUGGCGUAUUCUUCAAUCUGCACAAAAAAAAUUCAGCGGUUGAAUUGAUUAUGUUUGAAAAAAACCUAAUCUACAAUGGAAGAUGAAAGAGAUGUUGAAGCGUGAAAUACGGAAGGAAUCAAAUCUUCCCGAUUUAGCUUCAAAUGUAAAUUUCCGAAUAACCCCUCCAACGCAGUAAUAAAUCAGUUUUUACUAAUGGAACGUAUUUUUUUAAUGAAAAUUCUGAUUAAUGCUAAACCGUCAGAUCUGGUAGAUUAGACGGUAAGGAUAUAUUCUCUAUUCUUUAUUGUAUAGGUAU
rnacentral:lncRNA from 1 species